rnacentral:rRNA from 1 species
AACGUAGGAGACAAACGUUAUCCGGAGUUACUGGGCGUAAAGGGCGUGUAGGUGGUAAUGUAAGUCUGGCGUGAAAUUUUUCGGCUUAACCGGGAAAGGUCGUCGGAUACUGCAUGACUAGAGGACGGUAGAGGAGAGUGGAAUUCCUGGUGUAGCGGUGAAAUGCGCAGAUAUCAGGAAGAACACCAAUGGCGAAGGCAGCUCUCUGGGACGGUACUGACGCUGAGACGCGAAAGCGUGGGGAGCGAACAGG